rnacentral:rRNA from 1 species
AUUGAACGCUGGCGGCAGGCCUAACACAUGCAAGUCGAACGGCAGCACAGAAGAGCUUGCUCUUUGGGUGGCGAGUGGCGGACGGGUGAGUAAUGUCUGGGAAACUGCCCGAUGGAGGGGGAUAACUACUGGAAACGGUAGCUAAUACCGCAUAACGUCGCAAGACCAAAGUGGGGGACCUUCGGGCCUCACACCAUCGGAUGUGCCCAGAUGGGAUUAGCUAGUAGGUGGGGUAAUGGCUCACCUAGGCGACGAUCCCCAGCUGGUCUGAGAGGAGAACCAGCCACACUGGAACUGAGACACGGGCCAGACUCCGACGGGAGGCAGCAGUGGGGAAUAUUGCACAAUGGGCGCAAGCCUGAUGCAGCCAUGCCGCGUGUAUGAAGAAGGCCUUCGGGUUGUAAAGUACUUUCAGCGGGGAGGAAGGCGGUGAGGUUAAUAACCUCGCCGAUUGACGUUACCCGCAGAAGAAGCACCGGCUAACUCCGUGCCAGCCGCCGCGGUAA